rnacentral:piRNA from 1 species
GUUUAAUAAGAAUUUCAGCUUUG